UGAGGAAAAGCCUGGACUGAAGAAGAAA
rnacentral:piRNA from 1 species